AUUGAACGCUGGCGGCAUGCCUUACACAUGCAAGUCGAACGGUAACAGGUCUUCGGAUGCUGACGAGUGGCGAACGGGUGAGUAAUACAUCGGAGCGUGCCCGAUCGUGGGGGAUAACGCAGCGAAAGCUGUGCUAAUACCGCAUACGAUCUACGGAUGAAAGCGGGGGAUCGCAAGACCUCGCGCGGACGGAGCGGCCGAUGGCAGAUUAGGUAGUUGGUGGGAUAAAAGCUUACCAAGCCGACGAUCUGUAGCUGGUCUGAGAGGACGACCAGCCACACUGGGACUGAGACACGGCCCAGACUCCUACGGGAGGCAGCAGUGGGGAAUUUUGGACAAUGGGCGAAAGCCUGAUCCAGCCAUGCCGCGUGCAGGAUGAAGGCCUUCGGUUGUAAACUGCUUUGUACGGAACGAAAAGUUACUCUCUAAUACAGGGGCGGAAUGACGGUACCGUAAGAAUAAGACACCGGCUAACUACGUGCCAGCAGCCG
rnacentral:rRNA from 1 species